UUCGUGCCGUCGACGGCGCUCUCCUCCCACAGUGCUGCGGGAUCGGGCGGUGCAGCGGCUGCCGCGGCCACACGGUGGUAGGAGGAGCCCCGGCAGCGCUGCGAGGCCCGCUAAGCUCCAUUCCCCCCUGCCCGCCGCCCCGGCCGCAGCUCUGAAGAACGGAGAGCCCAAAACUCUUGUACGAAGGGCUGAGGAAUCGGCCGGCACCAGUGCGGGGUGCCGAAUUGCCACAGCUCAGGAGUUGUGUUCGCUGAACUAUAAGGGUUCUGGAUUCGCUGUUCUGCAGAGGGAAAACUAACACCGGGCAGGAGAAGCGCCGUCCUGCAGCGCAUCGCAGCUGGGUGCCGCGUGUGCAGUGGAGCACGGUUUUGGUUGGAGCUGCUUGGAGCCAAGGGCGAGUUUCCCUUAGCAAAAAGGGGGCCUUAGCAAAGCUCUGCUGUGCCACGCUGGAGCAGCAGCCGGCCUGCUGCAAUGAGAGAUGGGGCCACGGUGAGCUGGGUCGGAUGGCCACAGCUGAGCGCUCCAUCUGCAAGAGAUUGUUUCUUGACAUGAAAAAUUUACUUUUUAAUGGGCCAAACUGCUGCACUCUCUAAGCUGGAUCCAAAAUAACCUCUUAGCACAUCGCUCUGAAGGGAUCUCCAGCUACCGACCAUAAAACUGAAGCACUGCUCCUACUAAAAACCCAUUUACAAGCCAUUCCCUCCUUGUCCUUUUGUUUUCACACUGUGGUUCUAAAGCUCUGGAAAUGGAAAGCGCUCACUUCUGGAAAUGGAAAACGAUCUUUUGGAACUGAACAACUCACAGCUUUUGUUUCCUCCCAGGAUCCAAGGAGGUUCUGGAUGCUCCCCAGCCCUGGAGGCAUUCAAGGCCAGGCUGGAUGUGGCUCUGGGCAGCCUGGUCUAGUGGUUGACAACCCUGCACAUAGCAGGGGGUUGAAAUGAGAUGAUUGUUGUGGUCCUUUUCAACCCAGGCCAUUCUAUGGUUCUACGAAGUGGCACUGGAGCCGGAGGAGAGGCCAGAGAGCUCAGUGCUGCCUGGAGAUGCUGGGAAGUGCCUCAUCCCUCCCUUAAUCUUCAUUUUUUUUUGUUUCAGUCUCUUAAUUGUGAAAUAUUCAGCCUUUUGUGUGCAUAAUGAUGGGGCAAAAGAUAGUGAUAAAAUAGUUUAAAUUAAUAAGAUUAUUAAGUAACCUCUGCUGCUGGUAAUUCCUCACUCGAGCGGGUGCGCGGCGCGCUGUAAUUAGUUUUCUGCUUCGCUGGAGCACGCUUCAAGGAGCGGGGAGGAUUUUGGGGAGAGAAUGCUGUAAAGCUGAGCUUGUGAUGGAAUAGAUUUGUGACAGUUGGGGAUGAGAGCGUGCCGUCCCUUGUAUGGGAUGUGGGCACAGGGCUGUGCCUGCAUCCAAGGGCUGGUGGCACAGACAGGGUUCCUGGUGUGGGGUUUGUGCUUCUGACCACAGCCUGCAUCCGGGGUCUGCAUCUGUUUGGCAGGUUCCUGCCCUGAGGUUCUGUUGGUGGAUGAGUGAAUGCUGCUGCAAUAGGAGCAGAGGAGGUGAUGCCCUGGGAGAGGGGAGCCCUCGUUUUGUUAGCCUGGCAAAUAAUGGGUAACGGGUCGAUGCCUUCAGCCUGGGUUGGCAGUGGUAAUGGACGGCCUCACAGGUAAAUCAUCUCAUCCGAGCCACAGAAUGAUGUCCUCCUUCUAGGAAAUGGGGAGAAUCAGAAUCUAUUCUUUGUUCUGAAAUAGCAGCCGCUAUUGUGCAGGCGGGGCUCUGCUUCACACCUCGCAUCACUUCCAAUGGUUUUCAUUCCCACAGAGUUCUGGGUGCCCAGACCCUGGGCUAAGGGCGGCCCGGUGCCCCUGCCCAAGGCUGCGGGCCCUGCAGGCUGAGCUCUGCGCACUGUGCUGCUGCCUGCACGUCACCCUGCUGCUCAUUCUGCAGUGUCAGUCGUUUGGCGGCUCGUUUUGGUUAGCUAAAGGCAAACAUCUGUGACUCUGAUGCAGAAAGCCUCCCUCUUCCCUGUGUCAACAAUUUUAUUUUUAAACCCGUACGCAAAGUGAGAGGUGCAUCCCUUAUCUCGUGUGCGGCGGCCGCAUAUGUAACACCAUCAUAUAAUUAACAGUCAAGAUCAUUUACAUUGUCGCUUAGCUAAUUUUCAUAAUGUUUUCUUUAUUAUCAGAGGAAGAAAUUAACCCAAGAAUUUAUUUACAUACUAGUCUCAAACAGUAACAGCUUGCUAAUUGCCUGUUAGGUGAUUAAUAAGCUUACAGCAGAUGCUAAUGAAUCGAGAGCUCACUGCUUCAAAGGUGCUCUUGCAGCAUGCUUGUGUUUUGGCAGCUUAAUUAGUGCAAUAAUUAUGUACUUGUUGCUCCUUCUUUCAAGCAAAUACUGUCAAAUGCUUAAAAGAUUAAAGAGAAUUAUAUUGCUGAGAACUAGCUGUGCUUAAGUAUUCUGCUUUUGCUAACUUCCCCGUUGUUUCAAAAAUGGAAACAGAUAAAUGCAAUUACGUCUGAGCCGAGGGUGGGAGGUGUGCGUGUGCAGUGGGUCGCCUGAGGGGUGGAGGGAGCUGCCCCAGCCCAACCUGGGACUGCUUUGGGGUUUUGAUCCUGACUGGGGCUGAAGUGCUGAGAGCAUCUCCUGUGCCAAACCUAUGAAGGCUGCGCGGCCUCUCCUGUCAUCAGCUGUCCAAACCACUUCUGGCAGUGGAAAAUGUGAGGUUUUCUGUGCGGCGGGGCUGAAUCCUGGGUGAUUUCAUGCUGCCCGUUGCCCUGUGUCGUGCAGGUGCUGUGCAGGGUGCUGCCUCUGAAGGCCAUCUGGUCCCACUCUCUGUGAUGAGCAGGGACACCCGCAGCUCCAUCAGGUGCUCCAUCCAGUCUGACCUUGGGUGUACCCAUGGAUGGGGCAUCCACCACCGCACCGCUCAGCUCUCCAGCUGCAGGGAA